UGGGGAAUAUUGCACAAUGGGGGAAACCCUGAUGCAGCGACGCCGCGUGGGUGAAGAAGUAUUUCGGUAUGUAAAGCCCUAUCAGCAGGGAAGAGAAUGACGGUACCUGAGUAAGAAGCCCCGGCUAACUACGUGCCAGCAGCCGCGGUAAUACGUAGGGGGCAAGCGUUAUCCGGAUUUACUGGGUGUAAAGGGAGCGUAGACGGCAUGGCAAGUCUGGAGUGAAAUGCCGGGGCUUAACCCCGGAGCUGCUCUGGAAACUGUUAAGCUGGAGUACCGGAGAGGCAGGCGGAAUUCCUAGUGUAGCGGUGAAAUGCGUAGAUAUUAGGAGGAACACCAGUGGCGAAGGCGGCCUGCUGGACGGAGACUGACGUUGAGGCUCGAAGGCGUGGGGAGCAAA
rnacentral:rRNA from 1 species